UACGUAGGGCGCGAGCGUUGUCCGGAAUUAUUGGGCGUAAAGAGCUCGUAGGCGGCUUGUCACGUCGGGUGUGAAAGACCGGGGCUUAACUCCGGUUCUGCAUUCGAUACGGGCUAGCUAGAGUGUGGUAGGGGAGAUCGGAAUUCCUGGUGUAGCGGUGAAAUGCGCAGAUAUCAGGAGGAACACCGGUGGCGAAGGCGGAUCUCUGGGCCGAUACUGACGCUGAGGAGCGAAAGCGUGGGGAGCGAACAGG
rnacentral:rRNA from 1 species